AGUACUCUGCACCAGACUUGCUUUAUAUACGUGUGUGUUAUGUUAUUUUUGUGAUGUAUCUCAUAUUACAAAUUGACAAUGAUUGGUGUGAUUGCUUCAGUAUUGGUAAUUGAAAAAUUCACAUAUUUAUAACGUAGCAAGCAAAAGUCAGAUUACAAAAACAAGAACAGGAAGAUUAUUCCAGAAUACAUCACUACUCUAAUGUUUUAUUCUCUGUGUCUGAAGUGUUCCGCAGAAUUAAAAAUUUUGCACAGAAACGU